rnacentral:lncRNA from 1 species
AAGUAAUGAGAUCGCGAUGCCUUUUGUGGAAAGUUAGGGUUAAGUAUCUUACCACAUCGAAAUUAGGUCUUCCUGAAGAUGCUUUUCUUGUUGGAGCUUUGCUGUUUGAAGACCACCAAACUUUGACUCCAUUGAACUCAUCCUCAAUCUCUUCUUUGUCGUCCAUGCUAAGGACAAGCGGUGAUUGGCUAUCUUCCACAACUUCGGCUUUAAGUCUCUUGGCUCUUUGACUCGAGUUAGCACCAAGAUAUGUUUGGAUAAUUGUGUAAGUUUCGCUUUGUUUGAGACGCUCGCCCGAUGAUUCAUAAAAAGUUAUUUCGACGUAAGGGGACAUAAGGUCUGUAAAUUUGUUCAUGUGCUUUUCAACAAACUUAUGAAGAUCAGAUGGGCAGAAUUGCUCAUACAUGGCAUAAACAAAAACAUUAGGCUAGCCGCAAUUGAGCCUAAUUGUGACAAUAUUGACUCAGUCCAUAAUGAAAUCUGAGAUGAGAUCACUAGAGAAAACUAAUGAAGAAACAAGUUGAUAAAAUUCUUGCUAGUUAAGAUCCCCUUAUGGAAAAAACUAUUGCAAGAUUUGUUAACUCAUUGUGAUAGUAACACGACUAUUGUGAAAUCGAGAAUCGUUACUACAAUGGUAAGAGACGAUAAUUAAGGCACGAACAAAGAACAAUUAUAGCGCUAGCUACUCUUCAAUGGAGCGGUUAAAAUAGAUUUUGUACGUACUGAUGAUAAAUCAGCAAUUCCUUUGUCGAAAUGAUUAGCUAGAAAGAAUGUCUAAAACACAUCCAAUAGGAUGAAACUAAUGCCUAAAGAUAACACGAGUGAUGGUAAUUACCCAGCCUAUAUGACUGGAGAUCACAAAAAGAUAGGUUCAAUGGGUAAUAACAAGUCAUGUUGUGAUAGAACAUGCUAUGACAAAAUCUAGAAAAGUCUUAUUCCUGUAGCCAAAUGAGGAUGAGAUAAGAGAAACUCUAAAUGAUAUUAUUACCAUAUGUGGAUAGUAGUACAAAGCUACAAGAGUACUAAUGAACUCACCUAUACGAAUGUGGAAUAGAGGCCGGUUACUAUGGAAUUUUGAGGCAGAAUACCUAGAACGUUCGUCAAAUUGGGAUAAAUGUGCAGGGCCAUAAACACACGAGAAAUAAUAUUUGUACAACUAUCUUGUGACAACUAUUUCUCUCAUACUCAAAUGGUGUUCUUUUUCUCUCUCUUCCUUUCUCUCUCUCUCUCUCUCUCUCUCUCUCUCUCUCUCUAUUAUUUUUGACCAAUAAGAAAAGAGAGAAACAAAAUUGUCACCAAAGUUGUCAUUAAAUGGAUGUCCAAAUAUCAUUGCGUGCUGGUUCUGUGUCUAAGAUUGAGUUUAAUGCCACAAGCAACUCUAGUUAAUUGAAAUUUUACUCGUUAUGCAGAGGUUCAAGUUGUAGGCGACACCUUUGUUUAUUAGCAAUCUUAUAAAAACUUCUUUGACGUUAUUUCUGAAACUAUUUUAAAAUCCAAGUGGGGAUUGUUGGAACAUGUGUAAAAAUUGAGUUAAAAAACUAGACACAAAUUCUCACAUUUGGUAGAAUUAGUGUUGUGUGAAUUAAAAAAAAGUGGAAGUCCUACAUCGGAUGGUGCACACAUAAUAGUAGUAUAUAGUAGGGGUGUACCUCUAAAGGGGUACAUAAUUAUGUGAACAAAGUAAGCACUAGCGAAAUUUUUUUGAUAUAUAUUUUAUUAUUUGAAAAUGUUAACUUAAAUAAUUAAUUUAAUCAUUAUUAGAAAGUGUUUUCUUAGUCCUCAAGUUUUGCUAAAAUAUUUUAGAACGCAAUCUGAAAUAUUUUCGUAUUCAAUAUAAUAUAUUUUGGUAUUUAUAUGAAAUAUAUUUUUGUACUCAAUAGUAUAUUUUUGUACUCAAUUUGCAAUAUUUUUAUACUAGAUCUAAUAUGUGAAUUACUUGUUCCCAAAGUUGCACACAUACUAUUUGUGAAUUUUCUCUAUAAAUAGAGAGCUCACAUAGUUCAUUCCAUACACCGAAAAAUAUCUGAAACAUCGAAUCUUUUUCUUCGCUCUUCCACUUUGACUUGUGUUAACGAGUCUUUCUUCUCUUCAUCUAGUCCUUUUUCGGGGUAUAAUAUCCCUUGGAAUUAAGAACGGUUUUAUGAGCAUAGUCCCUCAAUAAUCUUUGUCCUUUCGGAAUAAAGAAUAUUUUUAAGAUCAUAAUCCCUUUUCUGGAAUAAUGUCCUUUUCAGAAUUAAGAAUGAUCUUAAAAUAAAAGUAUAUAUAAUCCAUUUUAUAUUUCCUUCCCUUGGAUAAAGUUAUAUGUUAGAAUGGUGAUAACACCAUAUUUGAGUGGUUGAAAUUUCAUAUUGAUAUUUGGAGAUGUUAAAAGUUAGAAUGGUGGUAACAUCAUAUUUGAGUGGUCACAAUACCAUAGUAGAGUGGUCAUAGUACCAUAAUUGAUUGGUUUCAGUACUAAAAUAUGAGUGGCCUUAGUAUCAUAUUGGAGGUGUAAUUUUCGAACGUUUUUUUUACAACAUAGUAGUUAAUCGUGCUGUUGUAGUUUAACUUGUUUUUAUAUAGUCUCCUUUGCAUUACUUUGGACAGUACCAUGGAAUGUCUUAAAGAGAGCGACAUGAUAGUGACUCAACCUAGUAACAACUUCAGUAGAUUUAUUUUUGGCAAAAUUACAAUUUUAGUCCCUUAACUUAAUUUCAGGUAACAGUUUGGUCCUUUAUCUGUUUUUUCAUUUCAAUUUAGUCCUUUUUGUCCAUUUUUAAUACAUUUUCAAGCUUCAAAUCUAAUAUUAUUAUCCAAACAUAAACGAGGAUCAUAGAUUUGAAGACUGAAAGACCAUAAGAAAAUUAAAUCAUGAAUUUUAAGCUUAAAAAUUCAUAUGAAAAUGGACAAAAAGGACCAAAUUGAAAUGAAAAAAUAUAUAGGACCAAACGGUUACCUGAAAUUAAGUUUAAGUGACUAAAAGUGUAACUUUGCUUUUAUUUUUUAAAAAUAGAAUUUAAAAAUUCAAAUAGAACGGUGUUCCGUUAAAUGUUAUUAAAUGUUAUUCUACAUCAUUAUAUAUGAUGUGUAAUAGUAAAAAAUAAGCUCUAAAUUGGGUUGUGUAAAAAAAAUAAGCCUUAAAAUAUUGUUUCAAUUAAAAUAUGAUGAAUACAAGUGUAUUUGAUAGGAUGCCCAAUCAGGUGCUAUAUCUAGAUGAAAUAAAAAGUACAUCAAAGUUUAGAUAACACUGAGCUCUAAAAGCAAUUAAAUGCAUGCAUGCAAGUAGAAUAGAAGCCAUCACCACAUUCUUCCUUAGCUAAGAAGCCCUCAUGAAAAUGCAUACAUCUUAUUUUAUUACAUACUAUAGAUCUCAAUGCUCCACCCAAUUAACACAAAGAAACAACACAAGAAUAGAACCAUCCAUCAAAUGCCAAUUUUUUUUUUUUUUUUGGCACUUUAAAAAAAACCCCAUAUGUCUUGUUUUGAUUUCACACGAAGAAGAGAUACUAUUAAUACAAAGACAACAUUCAAACAAUGAAGCAUUGAAUCCGACACAAACACCAAACACGACAUAAUCAUGUCGCUACCUAUAAUAUAAAAAAUAUAAGACAACGAGGCAUUCAUAUAUAUAUAAUUAAUUUUGUGUGUGGAACUUGGUAAGAGACGGAGGAGGUAUUAAUCAAGCAUGAACAACCAAAGCUAUUAACAACACAAUUCAGACAAAAUUCCCUCAACAUGCCCAAAGGCCAAACCUAAACAUUAUCUUUAAAUGUGUCAAUUCAAAAGCAGCACACAUGAACAUAGUUCAUAACUACAGUUUUAUUAAUUAAAAUGUUUCAAAACAUUACUAAGAAAACUGAAAUUAAUCCAACUAAAAAAAAACUGAAAUCAAUCCAAUCUAAAUUAAUGUAUGACAGCAUUCUCCCCAAUCAAAUUUUUAUUAAAAGGGUCUUAUUAACUAAUGUUCACGGGGAAUUCUUUAAGGAUUUCAAAUUUAGCAAUUAUUUUUUCAAAAAUAACUAUUACAAUUUACAAUGCAUUAAAUACACAAUUUUUCAUCAAAAAACUUACCAUUUAAAAUGUUUAAAGAGUGUCUCGGGGGCACUAGUUAACAUUUAAAAUGUUUGGAAAAUGUUAAGUAGUGCCCCCGGGGCACUGAUUAAGGAAUUAUAAAAGAAAAUGUUUUUUUUUUUUUUUUUUUUCCGAAAAUUAUGUAUUUUACUUUUUGAAACUUGAAAAAAUGUUGAUUUUAAUGUUGACUUUGCUUUUUCUUUCUAACUUUGGCUACUUAACUAAUACCCGGAGGCACCGGUUAACAUGACCCAAAAAAAUUCCUCAUAUUUUUCACUUGCCUCCUCCACCUAUUCAUCCUACAGUCUUGAGCCAAUUCUUGUUUAUCUUUCCCUGCCACCAGUUGAGCUUUCUCACCCUUUUUCUUUGCUUCCUCCUCUUCCUUUUCCUUUGCAAUUUCAAGAUAUUGAAUCAAAUUCUUCAAGCAAGCCUCAACAUCUUCGGUGGUCGACUUUGGCAUCAAAUUCUCGGCAACAUCAGCUGGUGACAUAUUAGUCUCUCCCAACAACUUUUCAAUAAUUGGAAACAAAUCACCAUGAGACUCAACAUCCAAGUAGUUCUUAGCAAGAACCUUGAAUGCUUGAUAUCUACAAUAGGACAUUUCUAUGUGUUUAUCCAUCCUUCCCCUCCUAAUUAGAGCAGGAUCAAGUUUGUCCACAAAAUUAGUUGUGAAAAUUAUGAUCCGUUCUCCUCCACAUGAUGACCAAAUUCCAUCAAUAGAAUUCAACAAACCCGAAAGAGUUACAUUGCUUUUCCUUUUCUCUUCUUCUUCUUCAUCAUCGUCGUCGUCAUCUUCAUCUUCUUCUUCACUUUUCUUAUCAGUUUUCUCUUUAUUCUCAUUUUUAUCAUUACGAUCUUUCUCCUUUUUCUUCUUCCUUUGACCGGUAAGCUCAAGAGAACAAUCAAUAUCUUCAAUAACGAUAACUGAUUUGCUCGACGUCUCAAUCAAAAGUGUUUUCAACUCAUUGUUAUCCUUGACAGUUGUUAAUUCAAGAUCAUAUACAUCGUAGUUCAUGAAAUUUGCAAUAGCAGAUAUCAUGGUAGAUUUCCCAGUUCCUGGUGGACCAUAGAGUAGAUAACCGCGUUUCCAAGCCUUUCCAACUUUAGCAUAAUACUCUUUCCCUUUCUUGAAUUUAACAAGAUCGUUUAUGAUCUCUUCUUUCUUCUCCGGUUCCAUAGCAAGUGUUUCAAACCUUGCAGGGUGCGCAAAAUUUGUGUGACUCCACCCCGACAUCCACCAACAACCGCUAUUGUUGGUGUAAAGCUUUAGUCGCCUAUUCUUAAAUAUAACAGCCUUUCCUUGGUCCAACACAUGUUGUAUGUAAGAGGAAGUAAUGAGAUCGCGAUGCCUUUUGUGGAAAGUUAGGGUUAAGUAUCUUACCACAUCGAAAUUAGGUCUUCCUGAAGAUGCUUUUCUUGUUGGAGCUUUGCUGUUUGAAGACCACCAAACUUUGACUCCAUUGAACUCAUCCUCAAUCUCUUCUUUGUCGUCCAUGCUAAGGACAAGCGGUGAUUGGCUAUCUUCCACAACUUCGGCUUUA